rnacentral:sRNA from 1 species
GUUUACCUACUCAAGCCUCAGCAGUGGUGGACGCCCCUCCCGCAGCCUCGCCGCCGCCUUGCGGUUCAUCUGAGACUGCUGUGCUAGCAGUGAGCGAGGCUCCGUGGGCAUGGGACCCUCGGAGCCAGGCGUGGGAUAUAAUCUCCUCGUGUGCUGUUGGCUAAGGCUAUUGGAAAAGUGCAGUAUUAGGAUUUAUGGUGGAUUAUUUUCUGAAGAUCAGUGUUGGUACAGAUGCAAAGUACUGAAAAUCAUCAGCGUUGAAAAGUGUCUGGUGAGGUACAUUGACUAUGGAAAUACUGAAAUUCUAAAUCGAUCUGAUAUAGUUGAAAUUCCUUUGGAGCUGCAGUUUUCUAGUGUUGCCAAAAAGUAUAAACUUUGGGGACUACACAUUCCUUCUGAUCAAGAAGUUACCCAGUUUGAUCAGCAAGAGAAGGCAGCUGCUGUGGAUUUGACUAACCACUUAGAAAACACUCUGAAGACCUGUAUAGAUACCAGAAUGAAAAAUCUGGCAGCUAAGAUGGAAAUACUGAAAGAAAUGAGGCAUGUCGACAUC